rnacentral:rRNA from 1 species
GAUGAACGCUGGCGGCGUGCUUAACACAUGCAAGUCGAACGAUGAGGCCCAGCUUGCUGGGUGUAUUAGUUGCCAACGGGUGAGUAACACGUGAGUAACCUGCCCUUUACUCUGUGAUAAGCCUGUGAAACUGGGUCUAAUACUGGAUAUGACUUCUCAUCUCAGGGUGGGGGCUGGAGAGAUUUAUUGGUAUUGGAUGGACUCGCGGCCUAUCAGCUUGUUGGUGAGGUAAUGGCUCACCAAGGCGACGACGGGUAGCCGUCAUGGGAGGGUGAACGGCCACAAUGGGACUGAGAGAGGGACCAGACGCCUACGGGAGGCAGCAGUGGGGAAUCUUGCACAAUGGGAGCGAGCCUGAUGCAGCGACGCCGCGUGAGGGAUGACGGCCUUCGGGUUGUAAAAAUCUUUCAGUAGGGAAGCAGCGAGAGUGACGGUACCUGCAGAAGAAGCGCCGGCUAACUACGUG